GAUGAACGCUGGCGGCGUGCCUAAUACAUGCAAGUCGAGCGAACAGACGAGGAGCUUGCUCCUCUGACGUUAGCGGCGGACGGGUGAGUAACACGUGGAUAACCUACUUAUAAUACGGGUAAAAUUUGGGAAAACGGGAUCAAAUCCGGUAUAAUAUAUUGAACCCCAGGGUUCAAUGGUAAAAUUCGGUUUUGUGGUCUCUUAUAGAUGGUUCCCCGCCGCAUUGUCUAGUUGUUAAGUUAACGGGUUACGAAGGCAAGGAUGCGUAGCCGACCUCACGGGGUGAUCGGCCACACUGGAACUGAGCCACGGUCCAGAGUCCUACGGGAGGCAGCAGUCGGGAAUCUUCCGCAAUGGGCGAAAGCCUGACGGAGCAACGUCGCGUGAGUGAUGAAGGUCUUCGGAUCGUAAAACUCUGUUAUUAGGGAAGAACAAAUGUGUAAGUAACUAUGCACGUCUUGACGGUAACUAAUAAGAAAGCCACGGCUAACUACGUG
rnacentral:rRNA from 1 species